UACGAAGGGGGCUAGCGUUGUUCGGAAUUACUGGGCGUAAAGGGCGCGUAGGCGGUUUGUACAGUCAGACGUGAAAUUCCUGGGCUCAACCUGGGGGCUGCGUUUGAUACGUGCAGACUUGAGUUCGGAAGAGGGUCGUGGAAUUCCCAGUGUAGAGGUGAAAUUCGUAGAUAUUGGGAAGAACACCGGUGGCGAAGGCGGCGACCUGGUCCGAUACUGACGCUGAGGCGCGAAAGUGUGGGGAGCGAACAGG
rnacentral:rRNA from 1 species